UCUCCGUAGGUGAACCUGCGGAGGGAUCAUUACAAGUGACCCCGGUCUUACCACCGGGAUGUUCAUAACCCUUUGUUGUCCGACUCUGUUGCCUCCGGGGCGACCCUGCCUUCGGGCGGGGGCUCCGGGUGGACACUUCAGACUCUUGCGUAACUUUGCAGUCUGAGUAAACUUAAUUAAUAAAUUAAAACUUUUAACAACGGAUCUCUUGGUUCU
rnacentral:misc_RNA from 1 species